CAGCAGCCGCGGGAAUACGAAGGGGGCUAGCGUUGCUCGGAAUUACUGGGCGUAAAGGGAGCGUAGGCGGACAUUUAAGUCAGGGGUGAAAUCCCAGAGCUCAACUCUGGAACUGCCUUUGAUACUGGGUGUCUUGAGUGUGAUAGAGGUAUGUGGAACUCCGAGUGUAGAGGUGAAAUUCGUAGAUAUUCGGAAGAACACCAGUGGCGAAGGCGACAUACUGGAUCAUUACUGACGCUGAGGCUCGAAAGCGUGGGGAGCAAACAGGAUUAGAUACCCCUGUAGUCCCUGUCUCUUAUAC
rnacentral:rRNA from 1 species